rnacentral:tRNA from 1 species
GGAGAUGCAGCUCAGUUGGUAGAGUCUUUGCCUAGAAUGCAUGAAGCUCUGGGUUCAAUCCCCAGCACCCCUC